rnacentral:rRNA from 1 species
GAUUAACGCUGGCGGCGUGCCUAACACAUGCAAGUCGAACGAGGUAGCAAUACCUAGUGGCAGACGGGUGAGUAACGCGUGGUUAACCUACCGUUGAGUGGGGGAGUAACUAGCCGAAAGGUUAGCUAAUACCGCAUACGUCUCCGAGGGGCAUCCCUUGGCGAUAAAAGGAGCAAUCCGCUCGAUGACGGGACCGCGUCCCAUUAGCUAGAUGGUGGGGUAACGGCCUACCAUGGCACCGAUGGGAGCUGGUUUGAGAGAGCGACCAGCCACACUGGAACUGAGACACGGUCCAGACUCCUACGGGAGGCAGCAGUGGGGAAUUUUUCGCAAGUGGGGGCGAACCCUGACGAAGCAACGCCGCGUGGGGAGUGAAGGUCUUCGGGUUGUAAACCUCUUUCAGCCUUGACGAAGCGAAAGUGACGGGUAGGGGCAGAAGAAGCACCGGCCAACUACGUGCCAGCAGCCG